rnacentral:rRNA from 1 species
GGAUGAGAAUCUUCGGCAAUGGGCGAAAGCCUGACCGAGCGACGCCGCGUGCGGGAUGAAGGCCUUCGGGUUGUAAACCGCUGUCAGAGGGGAUGAAGUGCUGGAGGGUACUCCCUCCAGCUUGACUGAUCCUCAGAGGAAGGGUGGGCUAAGUUCGUGCCAGCAGCCGCGGUAAGACGUACCACCCAAACGUUAUUCGGAAUUACUGGGCUUAAAGAGUCCGUAGGCGGCUCGGAAAGUUGGAUGUGAA